UAGGGAAUAUUGCAAAAUGGGCGAAAGCCCGAUGCAGCAACGCCGCGUGGGCGAUGAAGGCCUUCGGGUCGUAAAGCCCUUUUUGAGGGGAUGAGGAAGGACAGUACCCUCAGAAUAAGCCUCGGCUAACUACGUGCCAGCAGCCGCGGUAAAACGUAGGAGGCGAGCGUUAUCCGGAUUUACUGGGCGUAAAGAGCGUGCAGGCGGAUUGGUGAGUUGGAUGUGAAAGCUCCCGGCUUAACUGGGAGAGGUCGUUCACUACUUCCAUUCUUGAGUGCAGUAGAGGGAAGUGGAAUUCCGGGUGUAGUGGUGAAAUGCGUAGAUAUCCGGAGGAACACCAGUUGCGAAAGCGGCUUCCUGGACUGUAACUGACGCUCAGACGCGAAAGCUAGGGUA
rnacentral:rRNA from 1 species